rnacentral:misc_RNA from 1 species
UCCGGUUUGACACCGGCAGUCCCGCUAGAGUGCCCGGCAUGACCCGUUGGCAACUAGAGGUAGGGGUUUCACUCGUUAAGGGACUUAACCCGACACUUCACAGCACGAGCUGACGACAGCCAUGCAGCACCUGUGCACGUUCCACCCUUGCGGGCGUGGCCCGGCUUUCACCGGGUUAAUCCGUGCAUGUCAAGCCCUGGAUAAGGUUCUUCGCGUUGCUUCGAAUUAAGCCACAUGCUCCACCGCUUGUGCGGGCCCCCGUCAAUUCCUUUGAGUUUCAGUCUUGCGACCGUACUCCCCAGGCGGCGAACUUAACGCGUUAGCUUCGAUACUGCGUGCCAAAUUGCACCCAACAUCCAGUUCGCAUCGUUUAGGGCGUGGACUAC